rnacentral:rRNA from 1 species
UACGUAGGGUGCGAGCGUUAAUCGGAAUUACUGGGCGUAAAGCGUGCGCAGGCGGUUUUGUAAGCCAGGUGUGAAAUCCCCGGGCUCAACCUGGGAACUGCAUUUGUGACUGCAUCGCUGGAGUGCGGCAGAGGGGGAUGGAAUUCCGCGUGUAGCAGUGAAAUGCGUAGAUAUGCGGAGGAACACCGAUGGCGAAGGCAAUCCCCUGGGCCUGCACUGACGCUCAUGCACGAAAGCGUGGGGAGCAAACAGG